GACAGAUUGUCCCCCCAUCCGCCAGGUGACGCGAGUGUCUUCGUGAGGAACAUGGUGAGGAAGAAAUAUUUGCCAUUUGUUUCCGAGACGCUUGACUUAAAAGUGUAUUCCAAAUUCAUUACGGAAUUAAGGUGUCGAUCUACAUUUUCAGCCAUUAAAUGUAAUUGGCAAUCUGGCAUAUAAUUUCAUUUGGCCAAAUAUAAAAUAUGAUGACGUGGGUCGAAACUGCUGUCCAUUUUGUCGAAAUGUCGGCAAAUGACCAAAUGUUAGCUGUACGUCUCAUCUCGUGCAGAAACACUUCAGAGCUAGCAAACCAGCUGGUGGAAAGUGUGAUGGGAGUCCUGUUGAGCUGCAGCCGCUGCAUGCAGUUUAUCGAGCUGGUGUUAUCCCACGUGUCACUGCAGGAAAACUUCUUGAAUUGGAGACUAGGAGUUCAUGCCUUCAUGGUCAGUUGGAGCGAGUUGGAGCUGUUUACGUUGUUGCUGUUUGGUGUCCAGUGGUUUUGCAGUCCCUUACCAGUUGAGAGAUGCUCUGAAAUGGAGUUUGUGCAGACUUGCAGUUCAACAUCACACUUAAAUGUAACAUUUGUCUAUGUUGGUGUCCAUGCAGUGUUGAACGGUUGGGUAAAAUAGUUCAUGCUGCCUGAUGGCUGUCGGUCUUAUUUGAUCGGUUGCAUUUUUUCGAUAUGUCGUCCCUUGCUACCUGUAUCGGCGUUUUGUUGAAUCGUUUGCUGCCGUUCCAUAGACUUGAUCCAUUGGUAACACUGACUGAGGAGAAGUUGCUGAAAUUCAAGACUAGUCGAUAAAUUAUGUAGAUGCUGUAGAUAAAUUACAAGUGCAUAUCUGGGCUCCCUUCUUUUCUGUGGCCCCGUUUCCCUAAAUAACCUCUAACCAACGCCCGCCGGUGGUCACUCACUGGCUGCGACAACCAGGAGGAAGGGAGAUGUUUGGUCGAACGGGGACUUGGAAGGCGCAUGAUUCGAUGAAUUCUGUUGGAGGGUCAUGAGUCUAAGCCGGAAGCCUACUAUGAUGCAUUGCUCUCAUAAUAACUGCUCCUCAGCUCUCUUCGCUCUUUUUCCAGGUUCUCUUAAGUCUUAACCACGGCCGGGUAAUCUCCCUGGUAGAGUCAGUCGGGCAGUGUCUCCCCCUGCUUGACUGGCUGCAGUUUGUACCGGACGGUUUGUUUAAUAAAUAAAACGAGUAUAAAAACCAUAAAAUGUUUUCAUUUUAUAAAUUGUUAUUCAUUAAUUAAAUAUAAAUAGAUAACAACUUGAUUAACAAGCAUAUUUAUAUAACAUUGUUUAUUAAACAGACCGUCCGAUACAAACUCUUAGUUAGUACUAUUGCUCAAAAACUGAUUCUCUUGAAUCAGCAGACUCGAGAGUUUAUAGCGCCGUCAAGAAGCUGUGUUGUGUGUGUUGAUCGUCUCCACCAUGCACGCGAUAAUCAAGACCAGCAACGUCUUGAUCAAGAAGAAGAAAAGAA